CAAAUGUUAGUACGUUGCGCUAGCAAUGCUAAUGUCAUGGGUGAAAAUAUAAAAAAAAACUAUUUACAUUUGCCUGAUAAGAUCUGAGAAUCACCAACAUCCGAUUUAAAACGAGUACCAUGCAAAUUGGGAUGCAGUGUCAGUGUGUUUUAUGUGCCACAGCCAUUAAGACAUUAAAUACAAAAUAGUGUUUUGAAAGACUGGAGUUUGCUAAUACAGGGUGCUGAUGGAUUUAAUGCCCUAGCAGCGCAUUAAGAGUGAAAAGCUCUUGGCUGGCUGUAGAGGGCACGGUGGCCAUGACAACUGAUUGUAAUGCAUUGUGUCAUGUUGUCAGGGCUGCAAUUACAGUGAUAGUCCCACCCCAGGGCAAGAGGUUGUAGAUUCUCUCUGUAAUUUAGUAAAAAGUGGCUCUCCAGCCCCAUGUGCAACACAUAAAUUAUUCCCCUGGACAGACUUUGAUGGAGAGAAAGCUCACAUCAUUCAUGCUGUUUAGUUGAACUCUGGGAUAAAUUAACAUGGAAAACUUGUAAAUUAACUAAGACUUUCAACCGAUUUGAAAAUGUAUUCACAAUUAAUAUCACAAGUUAAUAUGUUAAUGCAUGCAGUUCCAUUUUUAAAGGAAAACAAAUGAUUUUCUCACCUGAAAGUAAGGUUCACGGUCACAGCGGAGUAUAAGUGCAAACUGAACAAUGCCAAUGAACUGCUUUGAAAUGAGAAUGACAGCAGCAGCGAGCAGUUCAUUUCUCCUCCGCACCUGCAUUCUCAGCAUUCAGCCUCUGUAUUCAUGCGGUGUGGCUCCUGAUUGCGACAGAUAAAAUUAAUGGCCCAUACAGGAGAUAACAGCUCCUUUCUGUUUU